rfam:Loxodonta africana unplaced genomic scaffold scaffold_14, whole genome shotgun sequence.
GCAUUGGUGGCUCAGUGGCAGAAUUCUUGCCUACUAUGCAGGAGAUCAGGGUUCAAUUCCUGGUCAAUGCA